AAAAAAGAACAACGUUUAAUGAAUUAAAUCAAUUCUACAUACUAUAUACUAUCUAAUACUGGCUAUGCCUUGUUGUGAAUAGAAUGAAAGAGAGCUGUGCCUGAAUCCACUGUCGUCACGGAGUUAAAGGCAGUGAAUUCCAUUAAAAUGGUGGAGGACGUGGAGAUUUGAGAAGCGCUACUCACGGGAGGUCCGGUCCACAGAGGGAUAUUGGACCACAUCGACUCUUCAGAUCCCAGAGACUUCCAGGGUUUAGAGAUUCCCAGUUCAGUUGGCUGGGUGGCGAGCUACAGGAUGGAGACUCUGAACUUAGACGGAUUGCCCUGGAUUCCUUCUUCAUGGUGGUAGGACAAACAGAAACCAAAGUCAUAUGGGCCCCAACGUUGAACAUCUCUGAACUCUUGUCAUCAAAGAACAAUUGAGCUCAUAGAACUGAAAAGGGUUUCUGUUAUGUGCGCACUUUAUUAUUUUAGUUGUUAUUUUUCA